GAUGAAGAACGUAGCGAAAUGCGAUACGUAAUGUGAAUUGCAGAAUUCAGUGAAUCAUCGAAUCUUUGAACGCAUAUUGCGCUCUCUGGUAUUCCGGAGAGCAUGCUUGUUUGAGUAUCAGUAAACACCUCAACUUCCAUAUCUUUUUUGAAAUGGGAGUUGGACUUGAGUGAUCCCAACGCUUUUCCUCACCGAAAAGUGGCGGGUUACUUGAAAUGCAGGUGCAGCUGGACUUUUCUCUGAGCUAUAAGCAUAUCUAUUUAGUCUGCCUAAAAAACAGAUUAUUACCUUUGCUGCAGGUAACAUAAAGGAGAUUAGUUCUUGUGCUGACUGAUGCAGGAUUCACAAAGACAGGCUUCGGCCGACUUUGUAAACUCGAUCUCAAAUCAAGUAAGACUACCCGCUGAACUUAAGCAUAUCAAUAAGCGGAGGA
rnacentral:misc_RNA from 1 species